rnacentral:miRNA from 1 species
UUUGAUUGUAAAGGGCUAUAG